AGAGUGAACGCUGGCGGCAGGCCUAACACAUGCAAGUCGAACGGCAGCACAGCCGGAGCAAUCCGGUGGGUGGCGAGUGGCGGACGGGUGAGGAAUACAUCGGAAUCUACCUUGUCGUGGGGGAUAACGUAGGGAAACUUACGCUAAUACCGCAUACGAACUAUGGUUGAAAGCGGCGGACCGCAAGGCGUCGCGCGAUUGGAUGAGCCGAUGUCCGAUUAGCUAGUUGGCGGGGUAAAGCCCACCAAGGCGACGAUCGGUAGCUGGUCUGAGAGGAUGAUCAGCCACACUGGAACUGAGACACGGUCCAG
rnacentral:rRNA from 1 species